CUAAAUCCACUCACAAGACUUUGAUCGAACCGGGGCUAUAGUAGAAGACAUUUGCCCCAGGUGCCACGCAGUGGAACUGAACCCAAGAUCAUAUGAUUAGGAUGCAAGCUUCUAACUAUAUAGACAUGCCCGCGCUUAUAAAUUUCAAACUGGAAGAAGCUGUUGUGGUAUGGAGUAGAAGGACGGCGUAUCUUUUUGGCUAAAACGCUGUCUUGUAGAGAGCGAUGCUUCUGAUGGCAUCCAAAUAAAAUAAAAAUAAAAACAAACAUCUCUUCAUUUAGUCCCAUAAUCAGAAAACAUCUCUUUCCUACCCAUAUGCAAACUAAUACAGUUCUCUCACAGCUGUUUUGCUGUAUCUUUCUACCCGUGUCUCUCUUUCCUUCUCUCCUCCAUCUCUCUGUCUCUCCUUCACCUCCCUGACUUUCUCUCUCUUUCUGUUCCUCUCUCUGACGAAAGUUUCUUCUUGGAAAGUCAGUCUUUUUCUUUGCUGAAAGAGAAAAUCAAUCUAUUCCUUUGAAGUGUUUAUAAUCUCUAAUUACCGACACAGUCUAUCACUGUUUACCUCCGAUCUUACUGUUUACUUACUUGAUAUAAUUUCACAUCUCUCAUACUUUCUGUCUCUCCGUAUUAUUGCAUUAGUGUCCUGUUAUUAUUUGACAAUCAAACAAAAUCUUCAUUAACUUUAAUAAAAAUCGUUGUCAUUGAAAGCGAAAUGAAAGAAAAAAAAAAUUAAAGAAAGAACAUAAAAUCCCACAUCAGCGUCCCAAAAUAAUGGGAAUAGGGAAAAUAAAUGCGUAUGUAGAGAGUUAAUCUAUGAAUAAACUAAAACACACACAAAUACAGCGCUAUUAAUAAUUAUCUAUCUACCUAUUCACUUAAAUUCGCACGUGUGUACAUGUAUAUGUGUGCGUGUGUGUGUGUGUGUUUAACUGGAUGACAGAGUACUUAGCAUCAGAAAGGGAGAUAAUGAACUCCUUCAAAGAAUUUAUGUUAAUUAAGACAACAAUUAUAAAACCAGAAUUAGAAUCUCAAAGAACGCUUGGAUGAAUAAUUGUGGACUUUCGUCGGCAUGAAACCUUAGGUUUUAUGAGAUUAUUAAGAUCCAUUACAAAAACCACACACACACUCAUGCACAUAUAUAUAUCUGUAUCUAUGUAUGUGUGUACGUGUGUAUGUAUAUGUAUGUUCACACACACACACACACACACACACACAUACAUACACAUAUGUGUCUAUGCAUGUGUGUCUCUAUGUGUAUUUGAGAAUAAACUGAAGUAAUUUCUGAAAUAUUCUGUAACAUGGAGAUCUUUAGAAGCAAGAUUCAACGUGUAUGUGUGCGUGUGUGUGUGUGUGUGUGUGUGUGUGUGUGUAUGUAAUAAAAUAUAUGUAUGUAUGUGAAUGUGCAUGCGUUAACAAAUUGGGAAGCAAAUAUUGCGUCUUUGUUUGUGGCAAUACUGUUUUCAGAGCUGUCUCCUGUAUCAAGUAAGACGUUGGCGAAGUUAGACAAGAUCCUUGUAGAUAAGGAGCCAGAAUGCAAGGCUUCAGAUGGGAAUAAAUGUCAACUUACAGACUAUAUGAUGCACAAGAGAAGGCAUCUUUUCCUUUCUUGCCACAAAUUUGGUUGUGGAUAGUCCUCUCAACAUAAAAAAAAAAAAAAAAACAGAAAUCAAUAUAUGUGGGCGAAAAUAUCCAGAACAAAUUUAUGAAACCAAUUCUUUCAAGAAGAAAUAUUUCGUAAUUAUCUCCCUUGCCAACAUUCAUCUGAGAGAACAUUUAACAGUAAAAAAACAAUCAACAAUAACAACAAUCAAUCGUACAAAGAAGACCUGCUAUGUCUUUCUUUUAUAUAGUUUUUAUUUUUUUUUUAUAAUAUUUUUAUAGUCAUUUCGCCUUGGGCCACAACAGUUCGUUCAGUUGUACGUCGGCAAUUUCCGGUAUCUGGGUCCAAGUUCAUUAUAAUGUUUAUUUCCAUGGACUUUUUCAUAUGACCCUCAUUUGUUUCUUUUUUUUUUUUUAAUAAAUAUCGUUUUUUUUUGCAUUUGUUUUGUUGAUUUGGUGAUAUAGGGCGAGAGCGAUAGAAAACAUUAGUUUUAAAACUGAUGUUUAAUCAACUCAAAGAAGCAACGUUGAGGUUGUUUAGUCUGACGCGUUUACUAGUCAGCCAGCACCCGGUGUCUGCUUAAGAAACCA
rnacentral:lncRNA from 1 species